GCGAUGAACCAGACUGCCGCUCAGUAUCGCAUUCAGGUACAGGGAGGAAAGUCCGGGCUCCGCAGGGCAUGAUGCCGGGUAACGCCCGGGACAUUUUCAGGGAUUUAUUCCUGAAGGUGGACAGACAGCGCAGCAGAAAAUAUACCGCCUGACCGCCUGACCGCUAGAAUGUAUAAAGUAAUGUUAUACAAUAGUGAUUUUUCAUACGUUUUAGCAGUCAGGCGGUCAGGUAAGGGUGAAAUGGCGGGGUAAGAGCCAGCCUCGACGGCGGUAACGCCGCCGCAAAGAUUUCGGCUUUAACUGAGGAUGGUUUAUCAUUUUCAAGUUAACCGGAAAAUGGCAAGCCUCAUCAGGAGCAAAGUCGAACAGCGUUUAAAAACCGAUUUUUAUCGGUUUACCGGCGGCCCGCCGGAUAUACGCGGGUAGACUGCUUAAAAAAAGCGGGUAACUGCUUUUUCAGACAGAUGGCAGUAAAGACCAAAAGCCGUAAGCUUUUGGUUACAGAACCCGGCUUAUGGUUCAUCGCUUUU
rnacentral:RNase_P_RNA from 1 species